rnacentral:rRNA from 1 species
UNUUACCAGAAAGGGACGGCUAANUACGUGCCAGCAGCCGCGGUAAUACGUAGNUCCCGAGCGUUGUCCGGAUUUAUUGGGCGUAAAGCGAGCGCAGGCGGUUAGAUAAGUNUGAAGUUAAAGGCUGUGGCUUANCCAUAGUACGCUUUGGAAACUGUUUAACUUGAGUGCAGAAGGGGAGAGUGGAAUUCCAUGUGUAGCGGUGAAAUGCGUAGAUAUAUGGAGGAACACCGGUGGCGAAAGCGGCUCUCUGGUCUGUAACUGACGCUGAGGCUCGAAAGCGUGGGGAGCGAACAGGAUUAGAUACCCUGGUAGUCCACGCCGUAAACGAUGAGUGCUAGGUGUUAGGCCCUUUCCGGGGCUUAGUGCCGCAGCUAACGCAUUAAGCACUCCGCCUGGGGAGUACGACCGCAAGGUUGAAACUCAAAGGAAUUGACGGGGGCCCGCACAAGCGGUGGAGCAUGUGGUUUAAUUCGAAGCAACGCGAAGAACCUUACCAGGUCUUGACAUCCCGAUGCCCGCUCUAGAGAUAGAGUUUUACUUCGGUACAUCGGUGACAGGUGGUGCAUGGUUGUCGUCAGCUCGUGUCGUGAGAUGUUGGGUUAAGUCCCGCAACGAGCGCAACCCUUAUUGUUAGUUGCCAUCAUUCAGUUGGGCACUCUAGCGAGACUGCCGGUAAUAAACCGGAGGAAGGUGGGGAUGACGUCAAAUCAUCAUGCCCCUUAUGACCUGGGCUACACACGUGCUACAAUGGCUGGUACAACGAGUCGCAAGUCGGUGACGGCAAGCUAAUCUCUUAAAGCCAGUCUCAGUUCGGAUUGUAGGCUGCAACUCGCCUACAUGAAGUCGGAAUCGCUAGUAAUCGCGGAUCAGCACGCCGCGGUGAAUACGUUCCCGGGCCUUGUACACACCGCCCGUCACACCACGAGAGUUUGUAACACCCGAAGUCGGUGAGGUAACCUUU